CAGUGAAAAUAAUAGCGCUGCAUCGUGUGUUUUAAAGCCACUAUGGUUGUCCUGGAUUUGUGCUGUCUGUUCCAUAGCUGAGGACGCCUCAUUUGGAUAAUUAAAUGUCAUGGUGAAAUAGGAGAAUGAGGGAAGGAGUGCAUUUGUCUCCUGUCUCUGCCGCAUGGAUGUGCCAGCCCUUCUGACGGCAGUGGGCAGCCCCGCUCUGUCCAGGCUACUGCCAAGACCUGUCCCACUCAUCCCAGCUUCGGGUUUAGCUUUAUCUGAAAGGAAGAAAAAGAGGUGCUUUGUGUGCCUGUACUACGAGACGUGUGUGAACAACCUGACUGUAAAUAGGACCCUGCGAGGCGGUGCCCUGGUGUCAGAGCAGAGCUCGGCUGUUCUGCUGCCCUGUGCCCCCCAGGUCCAUGCUACAUUUAAAACUGCUGGUGGUUUGCUGCUCAGAAAACCAGAGGUGUUUGGUGAGUGUAAGCAGAGAUGUUCCUGUAGCAUUGCCCUGGGAUAACAGAGAAGUACCUGGAGGUCUUUGUUUGUAUGCCAUAAACA